rnacentral:rRNA from 1 species
AUUGAACGCUGGCGGCAUGCUUUACACAUGCAAGUCGAACGGCUGCACGGGUGCUUGCACCUGGUGGCGAGUGGCGGACGGGUGAGUAAUACAUCGGAACGUAUCCAGAAGAGGGGGAUAACGCAUCGAAAGAUGUGCUAAUACCGCAUAUUCUCUGAGGAGGAAAGCAGGGGAUCGAAAGACCUUGCGCUUUGGGAGCGGCCGAUGUCUGAUUAGCUAGUUGGUGGGGUAAAGGCCUACCAAGGCGACGAUCAGUAGUUGGUCUGAGAGGACGACCAGCCACACUGGGACUGAGACACGGCCCAGACUCCUACGGGAGGCAGCAGUGGGGAAUUUUGGACAAUGGGCGCAAGCCUGAUCCAGCAAUGCCGCGUGAGUGAAGAAGGCCUCGGUUGUAAGCUCUUCAGUCGAGAAGAAAAGAC